GUGAUUCCGUCAGUAGCGGCGAGCGAAAGCGGAUUAGCCCAAACCAAGGAGCUUGCUCCUUGGGGUUGUAGGACGCCGUCGUGGGUGCAGCAGGUUAGGCGAACAGGUCUGGAAAGGCCGGCCAUAGUGGGUAAAAGCCCCGUAACCAAAAGUCUGCGAACACCCUAGGCGUAUCCUGAGUAGGGCGGGACACGUGAAACCCCGUCUG
rnacentral:rRNA from 1 species